GGGGGCGAAUGGCUUCGACCGUGUAAGGUGUGUAAAAGCUGCGUACUGAGGUUGUCAGGAGGCCUCAUAAAACACCUGGCAAACGUUUAAAUGCUGACAGUCAUGAGUUAGCAAUGGCUGCCUAAACCGCAGUCACGUCCAUUCAGUCUUGCCUGCGUGACUGAAUGGGCGCCAAAGCAGCAGGAUAGUUCAGCCCUUUUGCUUGACGGGGGUUGAACGAAAACCUUAGUUCAGGCUGGUUGUUCCGAAACCCUGCUUAUCGGGGUUCGGAAUGACGACAAUAAAAGAUAGGCUACGUGCGUAGAUGCUUUUGCUCAACUACAUUGGGACGCGGGUUCGAUUCCCGCCGCCUCCACCA
rnacentral:tmRNA from 1 species